AUCGUGGAUAAUGUAGACCCUGCC
rnacentral:siRNA from 1 species